GGUUGUGGCUCAGUGGUUGAGCGCUUGCCUCGCACAUGUGAGGCACUGGGUUCAAUCCUCAGCACCA
rnacentral:tRNA from 1 species